rnacentral:rRNA from 1 species
UAGGUUACGUCAAGACUCACGGUUAUUAACCGUAGGCUUUUCUUCUCUACUGAAAGUGCUCUACAACCCGCAGGCCUUCUUCACACACGCGGCAUUGCUGGAUCAGGCUUGCGCCCAUUGUCCAUUAUUCCCC